AUACGGAGGGUGCAAGCGUUAAUCGGAAUUACUGGGCGUAAAGCGUACGUAGGCGGUUUAUUAAGUCAGAUGUGAAAGCCCCGGGCUUAACCAGGGAACUGCAUUUGAAACUAGUAGACCAGAGUAUGGUAGAGGGGGGUAGAAUUCCUAGUGUAGCGGUGAAAUGCGUAGAUAUUAGGAGGAAUACCAGUGGCGAAGGCGGCCCCCUGGACCAAUACUGACGCUGAGGUACGAAAGCGUGGGGAGCGAACAGGAUUAGAAACCCAGUAGUCC
rnacentral:rRNA from 1 species